rnacentral:snoRNA from 1 species
AUGGAUAUGACGAUCCUUUCCCCAAAUGAUCGACUCUGAUUAUACUGUGCGCACAUGCAAUCCUUAUCAGAGGAUUCCAAGCCAGAAAUCUGAUCCAU